GUGCUCACUUUGGUAGCAUAUGUACUAAAAUUGGAACAAUGGAGAGAAGAUUAGCAUGGCCCCUGUGCAAGGAUGACACACAAAUUUGUGAAGUGUUUCAUAUUUUU